UACGGAGGGUGCGAGCGUUAAUCGGAAUUACUGGGCGUAAAGCGCGCGUAGGUGGCUUGAUAAGCCGGUUGUGAAAGCCCCGGGCUCAACCUGGGAACGGCAUCCGGAACUGUCAGGCUAGAGUGCAGGAGAGGAAGGUAGAAUUCCCGGUGUAGCGGUGAAAUGCGUAGAGAUCUGGAGGAAUACCGAUGGCGAAGGCAGCCAUCUGGCCUAAUACUGACGCUGAGGUGCGAAAGCGUGGGUAGCAAACAGG
rnacentral:misc_RNA from 1 species